rnacentral:rRNA from 1 species
UGUUCUCUAAAUAAGGACUAGUAUGAAAGGCACCACGAGGGCUUAACUGUCUCCCUUCUUCCAAUUAAUGAAACUGAUCUUCUCGUGAAGAGCUUUAAACUUAUCACCAUUUACUUCUUAUUACACCACUGUAUAUAGUAAAAUUUACUUGAUAGUUUUCGGCUGGGGUGACCCUGGAGAAAAACAAAUCCUCCAGGAUGAACGGAAUAAUAAUCCUAAUCAAAGAGCUACAGCUCUAUGAAUCAAAAUAUUGACAGAUUUGAUCCAAUUACUUGAUCAACGAACCAAGUUACCCUGGGGAUAACAGCGCAAUCCAUUUCAAGAGCCCCUAUCGACAAAUGGGUUUACGACCUCGAUGUUGGAUCGGGGUGUCCCAGUGGCGCAACCGCUACUAAAGGUUCGUUUGUUCAACGAUUAAUAACCCCACGUGAUCU